rnacentral:rRNA from 1 species
GAGUUUGAUCAUGGCUCAGGAUGAACGCUGGCGGCGUGCCUAACACAUGCAAGUCGAACGAAGCAUAUAGAAGGAAGUUUUCGGAUGGAAUUUUAUAUGACUUAGUGGCGGACGGGUGAGUAACGCGUGGAUAAUCUGCCUUACACAGCGGGAUAACAAGUGGAAACAGUUGCUAAUACCGCAUAAGCACACAGUAUCGCAUGAUACAGGGUGAAAAGAUUUAUCGGUGUAAGAUGAGUCCGCGUCCCAUUAGCUAGUUGGUGAGGUAAAAGCUUACCAAGGCGACGAUGGGUAGCCGGCCUGAGAGGGUGAACGGCCACAUUGGGACUGAGACACGGCCCAGACUCCUACGGGAGGCAGCAGUGGGGGAUAUUGCACAAUGGGCGAAAGCCUGAUGCAGCGACGCCGCGUGAAGGAUGAAGUAUUUCGGUAUGUAAACUUCUAUCAGCAGGGAAGAAAGUGACGUACCUGACUAAGAGCCCUG